rnacentral:rRNA from 1 species
GACGAACCGUGCGAACGUUGUUCGGAUUCACUGGGCUUAAAGGGCGCGUAGGCGGGCGGUCAAGUCGGGGGUGAAAUCUUUCAGCUCAACUGGAAAAGUGCCUUCGAUACUGACUGUCUUGAGUGAGGUAGGGGCAUGUGGAACUUCCGGUGGAGCGGUGAAAUGCGUAGAUAUCGGAAGGAACGCCGGUGGCGAAAGCGACGUGCUGGACCUCUUCUGACGCUGAGGCGCGAAAGCUAGGGGAGCAAACGGG